UCCCCUCUUUCCUAUGUAAUUUAUGAUGCACCAAUUUAUUCUCAUUUUUAUUUUAUCCAUCAUCAAAUUUUGCAAAUUCAAUUGGUUAUUGUUGGACAAUGAUUUAACUAGUGUAUAAUUUUAAGGUUUAUAUAUCUAUCUAAAACGUAUCAGUAUCCUAUAUUUUCAUUGACUGACGUAUCGGAUACGUAUUGUAUCUGAUUCCCGUAUCGUGUCUGUACUUCGUUAAAUACCACUAACCAACUCACCACUUCAUAUUUUAUAGUAGAACUUUUAAUGCUUUAAAAGUUUGGCCAUAGCUAAAACACACAACAACAAACAGCAACUGCAGAGCCACAAAAACCUACAGACUUAACUGAAUCCAUGGCAUAUGAACACAAUUUCAACAAACCAACACAUGCAAUCUCGGCAUAACAAUAAACAACUGUAGAGACACAAAAACUAGUUAUGUUUCAGCAGCAAAAAUUGGUUGCACACAAACACAUUUUCAAGGUGAUUACAAUAAGAAUUCAAUAUAUGGAAUCCAAUUUAACCAAAUCAUAUGCUUUAGGAGGCUUUGAUGGGUUUGUUAUUCGAAGGACUUACGAUUGACGCCAAAUUCCAGCGGCAAAAAGAUUCGCAGAUGAAUCGAUUGAGAAGGGAUUGCUAGGAUUUCUGAAAUCGCAGAAAGAGGUUUGAGAUUGGUGAAUCCAUUGUCAUUUUCGUGAGUUUCGGUUUUGUUGUUUCAGAUUUCCGAGUGUCACAUAUGAAUGAAUAAAUGUUGGGUUUCUCUUUCCUGGAUUUAGCUGAACUCAAUUCACUCAAACUUAUGCCCUAGCCAAUUUACUUUAUUUACUUAAAAAUUAAAGUUUGAGUGAAUUGAGUUCAGCUAAAUCCAGGAAAGAGAAACCCAACAUUCAUUCAUUCAUAUGUGACACUCGGAAAUCUGAAACAACAAAACCGAAACUCACGAAAAUUUGAACAAUGGAUUCACCAAUCUCAAACCUCUUUCUGCGAUUUCAGAAAUCCUAGCAAUCCCUUCUCAAUCGAUUCAUCUGCGAAUCUUUUUGCCGCUGGAAUUUGGCGUCAAUCGUAAGUCCUUCGACACAAACCAUCAAAGCCUUCCUAAAGUUGCAUUGAGUUGGUUACUGUGAUUCUCAUAUAUUGAAUUUCUAUUGUAUAUCAAAUUAUUCCUUGAAACUUGUGUUCAACCAAUUUUUGCUGCUGAAACAUAACUAGUUUUUGUGUCUCUACAGUUGUUUAUUGUUAUGCCGAGAUUGCAUGUGUUGGUUUGUUGAAAUUGUGUUCAUAUGCCAUGGAUUCAGUUGAGGCUGUAGGUUUUUGUGGCUCUGCAGUUGCUGUUUGUUGUCGUGUGUUUUAGCUAUGGCCAAACUUUUAAAGCAUUAAAAGUUCUACUAUAAAAUAUGAAGUGGUGAGUUGGUUAGUGGUAUUUAACGAAGUACAGACACGAUACAAUACGUAUCUGAUACAUCGAUACGUCAGUCAAUGAAAAUAUAG
rnacentral:lncRNA from 1 species